rnacentral:rRNA from 1 species
AUUGAACGCUGGCGGCAGGCCUAACACAUGCAAGUCGAGCGGAUGGAGGGAGCUUGCUCCUGGAUUCAGCGGCGGACGGGUGAGUAAUGCCUAGGAAUCUGCCUGGUAGUGGGGGAUAACGUCCGGAAACGGGCGCUAAUACCGCAUACGUCCUGAGGGAGAAAGUGGGGGAUCUUCGGACCUCACGCUAUCAGAUGAGCCUAGGUCGGAUUAGCUAGUUGGUGGGGUAAAGGCCUACCAAGGCGACGAUCCGUAACUGGUCUGAGAGGAUGAUCAGUCACACUGGAACUGAGACACGGUCCAGACUCCUACGGGAGGCAGCAGUGGGGAAUAUUGGACAAUGGGUGAAAGCCUGAUCCAGCCAUGCCGCGUGUGUGAAGAAGGUCUUCGGAUUGUAAAGCACUUUAAGUUGGGAGGAAGGGCAGUAAGUUAAUACCUUGCUGUUUUGACGUUACCAACAGAAUAAGCACCGGCUAACUUCGUG